GAUUAACGCUGGCGGCGUGCAUAACACAUGCAAGUCGAACGAUGAAACUUAGUAGACUUCUUCGGAAAGACACUAAGCGGCUUAGUGGCGAACGGGUGAGUAACGCGUGAGUAACCUGCCUUACACAAGGGGAUAGCCUUUGGAAACGAAGAAUAAUACCCUAUAAAACCAUAAAAGCACAUGCUAGAAUGGUCAAAGUGAUAGCGGUGUAAGAUGGACUUGCGUCUGAUUAGCUAGUUGGUGAGAUAAAAGCUCACCAAGGCAACGAUCAGUAGCCGGCUUGAGAGAGUGUACGGCCACAUUGGGACUGAGACACGGCCCAGACUCCUACGGGAGGCAGCAGUGGGGAAUUUUGCACAAUGGGGGAAACCCUGAUGCAGCGACGCCGCGUGAUUUAGAAGGCCUUCGGGUUGUAAAAAUCUUUUGUAUAGGAAGAAAAUGACAGUACUAUACGAAUAAGGUCCGGCUAAUUACGUG
rnacentral:rRNA from 1 species